CGGGUAAAGUCCUCUCUGAAUAUCUUUGGUCUCUACAGUGAAAAAGUUUUGAGUGAAUAAAACUUGCUCCUGGACACGCAUCUCAAUUUGAUUUUUUCUGAGAAGUCCUGAACUAUCUGAUAUGGAGGUGUCUGGUUACCAUGUUGACCACCACUUGCCAUCCAUUGGCAGAUGAAGCCCAUCCCUAAAUUCACCUAGGGCAAGGUCCUUUCCUUCUGUUGCUGCUCUUGAGGGGGAUUUGGUGCCACCCUCAGAGAGAGCUAACAUUAACGAGCCAGAAAUGGCUGCCAUCACAGGAAAGCUUUGCUCAUGUCGCUUUUGGGCUCCGCAGACUUCCCAAUGUGACCUCCUGCACCCAGCUCUGGAGGGAACACGAUGCUGCCCCCACUUAGGUCACGUUAGUUAACGAGUUCAGGUCAGGUCCAAUGGUUAGCUUGUAAGGCACGACUUGUGGUUUCCAGCUGAAGACGGCCAUCCUGACAGAGUUUUACAGACUGACAGGAAGCACUACAAUUCUGAAAUUCACAUGAGAUGGACAAAAAUAUUUCCAAAUUCCCAUACAGGAGAAAAGCAAGCCUGAAAGAGAUUACUUCCUCAGAAAGCAGACCCUGCCAGCAGAGCACCUACAAGCCCUCAAGAGUCUUCUUCCAUUAAAAAUCAAAUUGAAAACUAGACAUUAUGCACUACAGCUUUUCUGGGUUGUAAGUUAAUGUGGUCUUUGUUUUAUUAUUUAUUUUU